rnacentral:lncRNA from 1 species
UCCUCGGUGAGCGACAAUUAUUAAAUCUCACAUUUCAAGAAAUCAUAAGUCGUUUCCAAAUCAAAACAAUAAAAUAUUAUUUUCUAGCUCAUAGGGGCAUUUUCGUCAGUUUUUUUCAAAAAUACCAAAACCCGUAAAAAAUAUGGUGUAAAAGAUAAAUAUGUUCAUACAUACUUUAAAUCAGAUAACUGAAGUAUAAAAUUACUUUUACAGUGACACAUGGGCCCCCAACUGACCAAGAAGGUGUAGGGUUACAAACCCUUACUUUUUAGGAUGCAACUCCGAGAUUAAUUCACGUCUUAAUCAACUAUCAACAAACUGUCCUGAGCCUGAAAAAUGGAUAGGAAGAAGGGUGAGAUUAUGAUUACAUAAUCCCAGUGAGUAAACAGAUACCAUCUAAACUAUCUAAAGGCGAGUAAAUGGAGACGAAUUAAAAUAUUCUUUUCCAAUAUAUGUUUCAUAACAUGAAUAUUCAGUUUACUCAAUUAAUCAACAUGGCUUAUAUAUCUCACAAAACUUGGCUCUUGCCAAAAUCAUUCUCGCGGAUACCUUCGUCAAGGUAUUCCACUGAGACCGCUAAGAUUGUUAAAAAAUUCAUAUUUCGCAUAAAACACAUUUUUCAUUGAACAUCACAGCCGUUCCUUGGCGUUGGCUGAGUCUCACUCUCACGUGGUGGUUAACGUGAAGUGCACUAAAAAAGCCCACCUCAGGAGAUACCCUACGCGCCUCUACGAUCGAGGUGAAAAUAUAAAAGAAUUUACCGUGCCCCUCUAAUAGGCUGGUCCACGGAACCCCCCACCACUACAGUAGCUAAUCUUUAAUCCAUCAAUUGAUCAAAUCUCAAUGGCAUAGCAUGGCAAUUACAUUACUAACCAAUUUAUCAAGGCAAAACAAACAGUUCAUAUUUUUCAAUACAAGUAUAAAUUCAGCCAAUCAUGCCAAUUUAUCACAAGCCAUUUAAUUCAAAUAAUAAUUUUACAACACAAGUAGGCAGUCUCCAAUUAUUCUAUUUUCAAAACCAGUAUUCGAUUUUUCAGAAAAUUUAUAAAAUCACAAUUUCUCCUAAAACAUAGCAAUUUACCAUUUAAACCCAUUUUCCAUAAAAUCACACAAUUGUAUAAAAAUACUCUAGAUAAUUAAGACGAUAAUAAGUUCACUCACAGUAUUAGGAGUUGAAAUACUCCUAUUUUCAGUCCGCGGGUACAGUCCUUUACCCGUAUCCAAUAGCUCACCACCUAGCCAUAAUCCAUGACACAUAUUCCAAUUAAAUUGUGUCUAACAGUCAUAAGCUAUUUCAGGCUCGAUAUAUAUAUGCAUGAUAUGAAAUGAAAAAUGCACGGGUAGCCAUCUAGACCCGGUAUUGUCCUAAGUCGAUUUUUCAUUCGAUAAAUUGGCCAAUGCGUCCAAUUUCACUCCAACUUGCUCCAUUUCUUUUCCAAUCCCUCAAUUCACCAUGCAAAACUAAUUAACACACAAUUAGGUAAAAUUUAUCUUCACUUUCUUCUUGGAACUUUUGGGCAACAAUGGUACACUAACUCCGUGAUUUUUCCUACUUAAUUUUCUCUCCAUAAUUCAUUAAUUUCUACACCAAAAACUAUUAUUUCUUAAUCAAAUCACCUAGAAUAACAUCCCAUUCUUCCUCAUUAUUUGCUUAGAGAAUUUGGCUAUAGAUGGGUUCCAAACCUUUGGUGGUUUUCUUCACUUGUUUUCAUGCUACACAUCAUUAAUCACCUAAAAACACUAACAUACCUAAAAAUCAAACCAAUCCAAGAUCAUUCUCUCUCCAUACCCAUUUUGACCAGCCAUGAAUUCAUCAUGAAAACAUGUAAUUUAACCAUGGAAAUUAAGGGAAAAUGCAUGGGUAAGGUAAAUCACUAGCAAAAUCAAAGAAAUUUUACCUUUGCUUGAUCAAAUCCUUGAAUUCUAACACUUUCUCUUUGAUUUUUCCCACCUAGGGUUUAUUCUUCCUUGGUUUCUCUUUUCUUCUGGUUUGGCUGAUUACUAUGGGAGAAAUGGGCUGAUUUUUUACCUUUUUAUAAAGAAAUAAAAACAUGACACAUGGCAUUUCCUUAUUGGUUCAAAUUUUAAAUAUUUGACUUUUAAUUCUUUAAUUCUCCACCACACAUUUCUCAUGUUUAUCUAUUUUCAUGAUAAAUAAAAUUCCUUGGUCUUGACAAGUGUCGGGGGUAAAAAUUUAUCGAUUUGCCCCCGGGGUGGAAAAAUUACCAUUUCACCCCUAUACUCCAAAUUAUACCGAAAUUAAAAUUUUUCACUUCUAAACUUCAAAUCAUACUCCAAUACUCAAAUCAUACUCCAAUAAGUCAAAUGGGGCCAAAAAAUCUUUUCUAAAAAUUCUCAUUUUGUCCCCAAGUGGCAAAUGAUCAUUUUGCCCAUGGAUAGUGAAAAUUUUGGUUUGAUUCCAAAUUGAUCCUCGAACUCCGAAUUACCAUUUUGAGUCAUCCCUGAAUAGUGAAACUCUUAAUUUCACCUUAAAAUUCCUAUUUGAACUAGUUCGAGGCUUAAUCGACUUAAUGGUACCAUUAGGGGCAAUAUCGUCUUUUAACGAUUGCUCGAACUUUCUAAAUAUGCAAAUAUUCUAUUGAGCAUGUAAAUGACGUCGUAAUUAUUUUAUAGAAUAGAGUUUGACACCACUGGUAUGUUGUAAAUUUAUGAUUGGAAAUUGAUGGCCUAUGUUAUAUUGUUAUUGUGUUGGCAUGACUGAUUGGGCUGUGAUUUAUGAAUUGUAUGAAUUGUUUUAUUUUACCCUUGCAGGCUAGGUAGUAUUAUAUUAGCCCUGUCAUGUUGUUAAAAGUUUAUUAUAUGGUGGGUUUAGCUUGCUGUAGUGGGCGAAUUUUGUGGACCAACCUAUUAGAGGGGCACGAAAUCCUGAUAUAAAUAUGUACCUCGGUCGGAGAGACGCGUAGAGUAUCUCCUGAGGUAUGGUUAGAGUCCACGUCACGUCGAACCAUCUCUUGACGAUGAACUCCACUAACGCCAAGGAACGGCUAUGUUUUUCAAACUAAAAAUAUGUUUUUGUGUAUACGAAAUUUUUACAGCCUUGGUGGACUCGGUAAGAUGCCUCGGCCAUGGUAUCCCCGAGAAUGAUUUUGGCAGGAGCCAAGUUUUUUUUAAAAUACUCAUAAGCCAUGUUGACUAUAUUAAAUGAAAUGAAUACUUAUGUUAUGAAAAACUUAUUUGGAUGAAAUAUUUUAAUAGUCUCAUUUUACUCAAACUUUAGAUCUUUUGAAUGAUGUUUGUUUACUCACUGGGAUUUUAUAAUCUCACCAUCCUCAUUUUCCUCCAUUUCAGGCUCAGAUUAGAUUGUAGAUAACUGAUCUCAUCAAGGACUACCGUUGGGUUUGCAUUCUUCAAAGUGUAGGUUUAUAGUCCUCUUUACUUUUGUUUAUUCGGGGGCCCACUUAUUAUUGUAAAUUAAAUUAAAUACUUUCGCUUACUGUAUUACAAUAUGUAUGAAUUUAUUUAACUUUUACGCUACAAAAAUUAUUUACGUAUAACUCUAAAAAUAUUGUUUUAUAAGAAAAUAAAAUAUUUUACUUAACAUUUCUUUUUGGAAAAAAUGACUAAAUACCCCUGUGAGACAAAAAUUAUUAUUUUAUUUGUUUUGAGUUGGAAACAGCUUAAAAUCUUCUAGAACAUGAUUUUCGGCAAUGGUUACUCAUGGGGGAAAUGAGAUACUAAUAUUAAGCCUUGCGAGGUCCCGAUUGGUAUUUCGAAAAAUGAGUGUCUAUCGAGGUACCGCGACGGUUGUUACGGGCUCGACUGGAGUAUCGAGUCAUGACAGAAUAUACCAGUCUCUAAGCAUCAUUGAUGUCCAAUCUCAAUGAUACAUUGACCAGGAAUAUUUUGAGAUUAUGCUUUGAUGCAUAAGAACCUCAUAGUUGCAACCCAUUACAGUUUCCUUGCAAGGCAUAUUAAUCUCAUGGACUUCAUCCAAUUAGAAUUAUAACUCAUUAUAGUUAAUGUCUUAUUGAUGAAGGAAAACCUCUAAUCAUUCAACAUGAAUGAUACUAUUACAUGAUUGGAAUCAAGCCUCAACCAAUCCCAAUUGGCUGCAGGGCUCAUCCCAACAGUUUUCGCAUAAAUAUCCAUUUAUGUCCCACUGGUUUUACGUCAUUUGGUGUACGGACUAUAGGUCUAAAAACUGUAUGUUUUGCAAGUGAAUUCAAUUCCAUUUUGAUUUCAUCUUUCCACAUUGGCCAAUCAUUUUUAUGUCUACAUUCUUCAACAAAUGUAGUUUCAAGAUCCUCAUUUUCUUUUAUAAUAUUGAGCGCUACAUUGUAUGCAAAAAUAUUGUCAACGUUUAUUGCAUUCUGAUUUCAUCUUUUUUCCGUCAUGACAUAAUUUAUUGAGAUCUCUUCAUUGUCACUGAUUUCAGGUACCUUAAUUUCUUCUAGGAUAAUGUCAGGGGUCUCUUCUAGAGUUUUUGUUUCCUCUUUUUGACCAUCUUAAAUAUUUAAUUAUUUUUUUUCAAGGAUUUUUAUCUUUGAAAUCGAUUGAUUUCUCACACUUCUAGCGUGUCUUAGACUCAUUAGCAAUAGCAGAUUUUUCUACAUUAAUUCUUAUUGAAGAAUUUGCAGCUGGUAUAUGAGAUUUAGUUACUCUUUUUAGGUCAGCAAAUACGUUUGGCAACUGAUUUGCUAUAUUUUGCACAUGAAUUAUCUUUUAAACUUCUUGUUCACAUUGAUUUAUGAGAGGAUCAAAACUAGAUAAUGAUAACAAAUUCCAAGAUAUUUCUUUUUCCAGCUACUUAUUUUCUCCCCCUAAUGUUGGAAAAUUUGUUUUAUCAAAAUGAUAAUCAACAAACUUGCAGUGAAUAAGUCUCCUGUUAAGGGUUCUAGAUAUUUAAUUAUAGAUGGAGAUUCAUAUCCAAUGUAUAUUCCUAACCUCCUUCGAAUCUUUGUGCGUUGUGGUGGAGCAAUUAGAACAUAUACUGUACAUCCAAGAAUUCUUCAAUGGGAAAUAAUUGAUUCCUGACCAUAAACUAAUUGUAUAGGGGAGAAUUUAUGAUAACUUGUUGGCCUAAUGCGUAUAAGUACUACUGCAUGCAAAAAUAGCAUGCCCCCAAGCAGAAAUUGGGAGUUUAGAUUUCAUAAGUAAUGGCCUUGUAAUCAGUUUAAGGCAUUUGAUAAACGAUUCUGCUAGACCGUUUUGUGUAUGAACAUGACUAACAGAUUAUUCAACAUUUAUUCCAAUUGACAUGCAAUAUUCAUUAAAAGCUUAAGAGGUAAAUUCACAAGCAUUGUCAAGACGAAUUAUCUUGAUUGGAUAAUCAGAAAAAUGUGCUCACAAAAGAAUUAUUUGUGUAAGUAGUCUUGUAAAUGUCAAAUUGUGAGUUGAUAAUAAGCACACAUGUGAUUGUCUUGUCGAUGCAUCAAUUAAAAUGAUAGAAUAACUAAAUGGUCCACAUGAUGGAUGUAUGGGUCCACAUAUAUCACCUUGAAUACGUUUCAAAAAUGUAAGGGAUUCAAUCCGAGCUUUAGCUGGUGAUAGUCUUACAAUUAAUUUACCUUGAAAGCAUGGAGCACGUGAGAAUUCAUUAGGUGGAAAAAUCUUUUGGUUUUUCAAUAGAUGACCUCAUGAAUUUUCAAUAAUUUUUCGCAUCAUUAUUGAACCGAGAUGGCCUCACCGGUCAUGCCAAAUAUUAAAAUUAUUAGUGUCAAUCAUUUUAUUAUAGCAUAACUUUUGGUUUACUAUUGUAUAAGUUUCAAUCAUUUUAUUUUUUGGGUAGUACUUUCCAGAGGAUAAAGCGGGCAAUUUUUUCAAUACACACCUUUUACCUAAUAUAAUAGAUGUAAUAUAAAGGUAUUCAGUGUCUCUUUCAUUCAUUAUCUCAAUGUAAUAUCCAUUUAAACAAAUAUCUUUAAAACUUAAUAAGUUUCUUUGAGACCUAGUAGAAAAUAAUACAUCUUUUAUUAUAAACUUUGUUCCUCCAGGCAGUGAAAUAUUGACUUUUUUAGAGCCUUCAAUUAAUCUUGUACUAUCAAAUAUUGUAUUAACAUCAGCUUUUUCCAUUGUCAAGUGGCAAAAAUAGUUCUUGUCUUUAAGUAUAGUGUGCGUUGUAGCACUAUCUAUUAAAUAUAUAUCUUCAUCAUUGAUCUUGGAUCUAACCAAAUGAAUAUCCAUAUUUUCUUCAAGAAAAUAAAAAAUAUAUAUAUAGUAAGAAACUUACAUAAGAAAACAUUAAAUAUAAACUUUGUUAUUAAAACACAUAAGAAAAAUCUUUCUAAUAGACAUAUUAAAACACAUUAACUUCUAAAUAGAGUUAUAUUAAACAUACCGAGUUCCUAAUAGAGUUGUACUAAAAAACAUCAACAAAUAAUUUAAAAAAUUUCAUUAUUGGGAUUUUCAUCACCAAUCAAAUGAUCAAUUCAUCCUUUAGGGUGGACAAAAAAUUCAGCAACAUCCAAAUGUGUUAUAUCAACUUGGCUAUCAUCUUUAACCAAAUUUGAUUUGAUAUUUUUUCCUUUAUCUUUUAGUGAUGCUCGAUAAAGUUCAACAAGAUGUUUUUGUGUAUGACAGGUACAUAACCAAUGGCCUUUCAUGACAUAUCGAUAACAAACAUUUUCUAUAUUCUUUUUUCUUUGUCCACCUUUGUCUUUUUCUUGUAUUUCUUCACUAUUCAUGCACUUUUGACGAGUGUUCUUAUUAUCUGAAUAACAAUUCGUGUAACCACCAAGACUACGAUAAUUAUGACAACCUUUUCCACGUCCACAGUUAUGACCACGAUUACGACCAUGACCACGACCACAACUAGAAUUUUUAAAUGAUAUAGCAUUCACUUCAGGGAAUGGAGCAGAACCAGUUGGGUGAGAUUCAUGAUUUUUCAUGAAUAGCUUAUUAUUUUCCUCAGCCACAAGAAGACAUGAAAUCAGUUUAGAGUAUUUCUUAAACCAUUUUUCACCAUAUUGCUGUUGUAGGAGGUGUGAAAAGUGGAGAAUUUUUUUCUAACAAAUCAACGUCAGUCACAUUUUUUCUACACAAUUUUAGUUUAAAACUAAUUCUAUAUAAUGCUGAGUUAUACUCACUUACAGUUUUAAAAUCUUGCAAUUGUAAAUGCAUCUAAUCAUAAUGAGCUUUUGGCCGAAUUAUUGUUUUAUGGUGGUUAUAUCUUUUCUUUAGACUUUUCCAAAGAUCAUUGGAUCUUUUAUUGUGAGGUACCAAUUUUUAAUCUUUCAUGAAGAUGGUGGCAAAGGAAAAUCAUUGCUUUCGCCUUAUCUUGAUUGGAAACUUUAUUUUCUUCUUUGAUUAUGUUUCGAAGACCCAUAGCCUCUAAAUGGAUUUUAGUAUCUAAAAUUCAAAAUAGAUAGUUCUUGCCAGUAAUAUCAAGGACUACAAAUUCAAGCUUUGUAAGAUUUGACAUGGUGAUUUCUUAAAAGAAGAACAUAAAUGUUAGUAUUAAACAAUAUAUCAUAAUUGGCAAGUAAAACAAUAAAUUGACUAAUGAAAAAUAAUUAAUAUAAAAUUGGAAAUUGACUUAUUGUAAAUUGGUAAAAUAUGGGCAAAACAAUAAAGUGACAAUAGACAAAAAUUACCUGAAGAAAAAUUGAAGUUCGACUUUGAGAAGCUUGAGAGUGAAAGAUUAGAGAAUCGUGCUGAUAACGUGUUAUGAAAAUAUAACUUAAAAGAACAAAUAAAGAUAACUUAAAAGAACAAUUAAAGAGAAGAAAAAAAGUAUUUAGAUGGAGAGAAGAGAUCUUAUCGAAGUAUGUAUUUACAAAUGAACUGAGUGAGCCAAUUUACAGGCAAAUAACUCUCUUAUCUCGAUAGAAUUUAAAAGAUAAAAAUAAGACUUAGGGAUUAGAUGGAUUAAAUCCUAAUCCAAUCUAAUUUACAUCAAAUCUAGAUGUAAAUAAUAUAAAUGGAUAUUCACAAAAAUAUUCAUAACAAGCAUAAUAUCUAAAAAAAAGUCCUUAAAUUAUUCAAAAAAAUUCAAAAAAAACUUUAUACUUUUAUUACAUUUCAUCAAGUCAUUUUGCUUUUAUUUUGAGUCAAAUAAACCCUUCUACUUUUAUUUUGAGUCAAAUAAGUUUUUAUAACUAAUGAUUGACUUAAUAAAAAAUGUCAUUUGUCAUUUUAUGACACUAGUGGUUGAUGUGACUUCUAACAUAUCAUAAUUAAUAAUAUGUUAUGUUGAAAUAUCAUAAUUGAUGAUGACGUAACAUGUUAAUUUAACAUGAUAAUAUAACCAUGUGGCAUUUUUCACCUUCAUAUUAAUGUUAUGUUAGUACCAUGCCGAUAUAAAAUGACAAAUGGUAUUUUGACUAAUGAUAAUUUGACAAUAAUUAGUUUUAAGGGCUUAUUUGACUCAAAUAAAAAUACAAGGACUUGAUUGAACAUAAUAAAAGAAUAAACAUAUAUUUGAAUUUUUUUCAAUAAUUUAAAAGUUUUUUUGAGUAUUAUGCUAAGAAUAAUUAACAAUAGAUAAAAUUUCAUUGAUAAUUAGCAAAGAAAUUUAGUUGGAACUGCCUUAUCGGCGAAAUUUUUUGACCGUAAUUAUAGUCCUUUCUAAUGAAUUAAUGUUAAAAUAAUAAAAAACUAGAAAAGUACCCUUUCUGCACAGUGGGUUUGCAAUAUUUUAUAAACACUUAAAUAUUAAAAAUUAUGAAUUAAUGAUAGGAAUUGUAAAAGCUAUUAUUGAUAUAAUCAUGCUAAUUAAUAUUUGAUAUAUAUACAAUUUGUCAAUAAAUGCACAAAAACUAUCAUAAUAUGUACAAAAAUUGUUCUGCAUUCUCAAUGAGUAAGAUGUUGUCCUAAAAAAGAAAAGAAAAUAAUCCUGCUAAUUAAUAUUCGAGAUAUCUACAAAUAACAUUUAUUACAAAAUGUAAAAAAAUUGUUCCCAUAAAUCAAAGAGCAAGCUAUUUUGAAAAAUAGGAUAAAAGUUCAACAAAAUUACAUGUACCAUGGAAUCAUUUUUGUGAAGGAAACCUAAGCAUGCUAGUCCUUGAUCUAAUACACCAUCCACCAUCAAUAUUACUUGUCUCUUGAACCAAUAACACAGUGGCAAUUAGAAUAAAAACUAUAAAGAUUGGAAAAGCUAUGUUGGUGGUGAUCAAAUAAAUCUUAACAGAAAGCAUGCCUCUUUUAUUUUGUUCCUAAUUAGAUUAUCUAGUAAUUGUUGCUACUGAAGAGAGAAGCAAUUACACAGUUAAAAUAGUAAAGUAGAUAAAGAAAACUAAAACCAAAAUUUUUAUGAAAAAAGAAAAUUUGAAAAAAGGAACCUGGCCACAAAAUCUUCUACACCAAAGUUUUGAUACAAUAGGUAAUAGUAGUGUCAAAGUCCAACCAUUCAUAGCAUUAGCUUUACCCUAGUGUCAUAGAAAAGCUUGGUUCAUUCUCAGUGUGAAUUGUAGAGAGGCAAUAACAAUUUACUUGCACAAUAGAUAACCAAUCAUAAAUGUAAUCCAAUAGGAAAUCAGUAAUUUUUUAGCCUUCAUACUAAUCCCAAUGGCCAUUAGUUUACUUUACACUCAAGGAAAGUUCAUUUGUCAUACUUUUGACAAGUAGAUUGCCUCAUAUCUAGGAACUUUCAAAUUCAAGAAAGUUUGACAACUAUAUAACUAUUAGGUUAAAUGGGCAGCUUUUGUUGUAAGUUUGCCAAUGGAGAUUAGAAAUCCAUUUGAGAUUGGAUACAAAAUUUUAAAAGUUCUAGAAAGUGCACCUUUAAAUUCCAUUAGGAUCCUUUGCAAGUUUUAGUCAAAUUCAAACAUAGAACCAUAUAAAAUGUUUGACAAAAUACCUACAAACAUAUAAGGUACAUUCUAUGGGAACUAAGAACCACAUGAACUUUAGAAAAUUUAAAUCACAUGUCAGUAGAGCUAAACUGUAAAAGUUUAGUAGUGUCUACAUAUAUUUGUAAAAAUAAAUUUCUGAACAUGACAACAUAUGCAAUUAAGGUCUCAAAAGAUUUUGUGAAUCUAAAUCAAAUAUCUAUGAAGUGUGACUUUUACAUAUUAUUUUUAUUUGGUUUUAAAACAGGAAACAUAUUUAAGUCGAGCCUUCUGUAAAAGAAAAAAGCCAGCCUUCUAAAAAAAAAACAGUUUAAAUAUGAGAAGAACAGAUGAGAGUCAAAUAUGAGUAGAACAAACAAACUAUAAGAGAGUAAUUCGAAAAUUUGUUUAUUUGUAUAUCAACCAUGAUGAUGUAGUUGAAGCAAAUUAUAAGAAACACUAUCUAGUUCCCUUUCACUUUCUCCAGUAAUUAUCAAGGAAGAAGAAUCAUAACAGUAAAAAUUUUAAAUCCCUUGUAUGAGACAUAGAAAUAUUGCUAAUUUUUUUAUUGGUCAGAUGCUUUCUACGAACAAUAAAUUAGUGAUUGUUUAAGGAAUAAUCUACAAAGUUUUAAGACAAAAACAUGUCUCUCUUAGUUGAAUGUGAUGCUAUAAUUCGUCAUUAAAUCAGAUGAUUACCUUAAAAGGGCAAUAAUAUGCAACCUUUCAAUGAUAAAAUAGUCAGAUGAUGGUCCAAAAGAAAAAGAUGGAAGACUCUGGAAUUAUUUAUCCCUUUAGCUUUUGACAAUGCUUGUACACUUAUGUCUUACUAUAUAAUUAAUUCAAACACUAAUGCAUAUUCCUUGCACCUAAAGCAACACUGAAACAAAAUAAACAACAUGGAAAUCUCAAACAUAUCAAGAAAAUCCAGGCAGAGCACUGAAGUUACAAACCAUAAAAAAAAAAAGUCACAGUAACAAAUCUCAAGGUCCAAAUUGAAUGAUAUCAAUUGUUAGAGAGAAAGCCAAAGGAUACAUCAUAGUUACUUCAAGUAAUUGAUAUGCUCCUAGUUUUUAAUACUUUUGCUUAACAUUUCAGUUAAGUGCCAGCUAAGGAAUUCUGCACUUUGUUUUUUCUACCAUAAAUUUAACCAACAUUGAAUGUUGAAAGACCCAAGAGCUAUACAAUCAAAAACACAUUCAGGAUUAACAAAGCUGAUUUUAUGACCAAAGCGAUAAAUCUGCAUAACAAUGAAUGUAAACGAAAUAUUUAAGUUGAACAGCCUUAAAGUUGCAAAAAUCAUAUAAGCACAAUCCCUUAUUGCACAAAUAGACAAUAAUAAGAAGAAGAAGAAGUAAAUCGAGGUCACCCUUUUGUUCACUCAUCGAGUGCGUCUUCCAGCGUUAGAAGAUAAAGAACACCAACCAAACUUGCAAAAAUAAAAACUAAAAAAAAAUCAGUAAAAGUCAAUUUAAAAAAAAAGGAAAGAAAAAAGGAAGAAAAUUGGUGUGAAUGAGAGAGCGGGUUUCGGGUUUUCUAACAGAGCAAGAGCCUUUGAGUGAAGAGUCCUUGAAUGUGAAAGAAGAGACAAAGAGAAAAGAAAGGAAGAGGAGAAAGUUUUAAAUGGGAGAAACUUUUCCAGUUAGGAUUUGGGUACCUACCUGCUAAAGCAUGAGAUGGUAAGCAUGGCGAAAAGAACGAUGUGAGGAAGAAAAGAGAAAAAGAAUUGAAAAAUCAAAAAUACCCUUCAAACAUGUUAAAAUAUAUAGAUGUCAAGUGUAGAAAGCAUGUGCAGCUAGGAUUCAUUAUAGUUUAGAUUUAGAUAUUGUAGCUUAUUCCAAUGGAAUUUUUUCAUUAAAAAAUUUUGACGGAUUUUCAAUAACAAGCAGUGGCAUUGACUUUUUCAAAGAUGGACUUUUCAACAGAAUUUUUCAUUAAAGUUAUGUCGAAAAAAAUCAAUUCUGAUGAAAUUUUGAUUUCUUUCUGACAAAAUUUUUUAUUGAAAUAAACAGGAAUUUUUGUAGUGAGAAUGAAAACACUAAACUUGGCCACAAGUUAAUGAUUGAUCAACAUGAAAAGUAAUUAAGCAACUUACAAAUUCGGGAACAGUAUUUUUUUUAAAACCGUGGAUAAAGAAAUGAUUGAUUAAUUCAUGAGAUUGAAUUAAUUACAGAUGUUGGAACAUCACUCUUAUCCAUCUCAGAUUUGCACUCAUACUUAAGGAUGAAAACGAAAAUUCAGGUCCUAUGGAAACAAUUUUUUUUAAAAUGAUAAACAAUCUAUUUAUUCUUCAGCACAUGUGACGAACAUGUAUUGGAUUAUUAUCGAUUAUUGUCUACAGAAGACUUAUUUAUUCAAAAAGUAGUAAGCAUACAUAACAUGAUUAAUCUAAACCCUUAUGGACUGUAGCUAGAUUACUGGUCGCAUGCUCAAACCCAAAUGAAUCUAGCCUUCUUCAAUUGGAUUAAAUUGUGUGACAGGAUAACACACCAAGGGGCUUGCCAUUGCCAAAGUAGCGGCAAACCCCGAUGCCUCUCUCAUAUCAACCAUUUCUCCACCUGUGACUUUCCAAUCAAAACACUGAACCAAGGCUCCAACCGUUGCAUGUAUGGUUGCCAAGGCAAGCGAUGCUCCAGGACAUACACGCCGCCCACUCCCAAAUGGGAGGUAAUCGAAGUUCUGUCCUUUCAUUUCCAUUAGCUCCUUGUUUGAGUUUAGAUUGGUGUUGCCCAUAAACCUGUCUGGAAUGAAUUCAUCUGGACUAUUCCAUGAAUUUGGGUCCCGCAUGAUGGAGUAAAGGUUGACAAUGAUCCGACUCUUAGACUUCAAAUAAAAGCCGUCGAUCUUGCAGUCUUCGUUGCUUUGUCUGAGGAGAGUAACUGACGGAGGAUGUAGCCUUAGGGUUUCUUUCACAACAGCUUGUAAGUAAGGGAGAUUUUGCACGUCUGAUUCUUUGAUCAAUCUGUCAGGCCCCACCACUGAAGAUAUUUCCUGUCUCAGUUUCUUGAAAACUUGUGGAUGGUUGAUGAGCUCUCCCAUGGCCCAUUUCACUGCUAUUGAUGAUGUUUCAGUUCCGGCCAUAAACAUGUCCUGUCAGAUUCACAAAUUUUAACUAAUAAUCUAUUUCACCUGUCAUUAGAUAAAUUUUUGUGGCUGCUAUAAUUAAUUUUGAUUUUGCAAAAGAUUUUCCAAAAUUAAGUAUAUUUGAUUUUUAAGCACUGGAAAAGCUUGACGUAGUCUGGGGGGUGGAUUUCAAAUAAUAUAUAAUUAGUAGAUAUGUGUUAAGACUUACUUUCUUGAAUAUCUUUAUUCUACCAAUAUUUAUAAAGAAUUUAAGAGUAACUGUUGGUAUAUACUUUUGAGCCAAUUGGAUUGGUCAAUGAAUAUAUAUUGUUAUUUAAUACAUACUUAAUUGCAUAACUAUAUAUGAUAAAGAUUUUCCUUCAUAUUAGUGCAAUAAUAAAGAGUUAUUAAGUACUAAUUAGAUGAAGCUCAUGAAACAUAAAGGCCUAGCUAGAGAAUUUUAAAGUUAUUAUAAUUAUAAGAUCACUAUGCAUUAAAGUCAUAUUCCUAAAAUUGUUCUUAGUCAUUGUAUUGUCAAGACAGGGUAUUGAUAAUGCUUAAAAAUUGGUACAUGUUAAUCUUCCUUACUUGAAAAGUAAGCAAUCGAUCUCAUAGAUUGAAGUAUAUGAGAUACUUGAGAAUAACAUGUGGGUGCUUAUUAAAGAACAAGUUCACUGAAUAUGACCUACUAUGAGAACUUCAUUUGGUAUUUCACUUAAGUUUUUAUAGAAUAUAUUCUCAUGUGAUAGUUGUACAACUAGUCCUUAGACUUGAGACACCAGGUCAACUUGUAUGAAGAAUGACAUACUUUGAUUUCACCCCUACGGGUAUAGAAGCCACCAAAUGCCUAAACAAGGUGUUUUUGGAUAUGUCAUGAAACAUACGAAGGUGAAUGAGUGGUCAAGAGAAGAUUUAUCACCCCAAGUGAUAUGAGGGGAUGUAUCUCACUUGUUCUCAAUUCUUGAUUAACUUGUACAAAGUCUUUGGCCAAAGCAUGAUGAAUUUGAGGAAAAUUAGUUUCCUAAAUUCAUAAAGUUAGUCAUAAAUUAUGAAAACUAAUAUGGAAUGUUAUAGCAGACAUUGAGCCAUGCUCAAUGACAUAUCCAAGAUAUUUGAUGAAAGGAUCGUAUUGCACUAAAAGACUUAUCACUGAAGGGCUUUGUCAAAUUUUUUAAAUUGAUUAUCUACCAUUUGGGUGGUCAUAAUGUAUUGCUAGAUGCCGUUCACGAUCUAUAAAUAUAAAUUAAUUAUCAAAUUGAUAUUUAAUUAAGAUUUAUAUUUAUUGCUAACAUGUUAAAAGCCGAAUAUGUCACACACAUUAAGUGACAUGAUUGGGAUUAAAUAAGGAUAAUUAAUUAAGUUGGACUUAAUUGAAAAAUAUCAAAAUAAAGUGAGAAAUUAAUUAAGUUCACAGAGACUUAAUUAAAUUAAAAUACAAUUGUUGUAUUUAGGGUUAUAACUUAGUUUGGCUAUAUAAAUAUAUUAUGUUAGCAAACUAAAACUUGAAGCCUCCAACCACUUCUUGGCUGUUUCUUAAAUAAGAAAAAAAAAGUUUUCUUUGUCUGACAAAAAUAAGAUUCGACAAGAAUUUUUGGUCUUUUUAUUUUAGAAACAGAACUUGCUAGAAAAAUAAAAAUCCAACCUUUGAGAAGGUCUUAUUCGAUCACUGUGUGGAUUACUAUUAGAGGUCAAACACUUGGGUGGCUGAAGAUUUGACAAAUCCUAAAGGUGAAGAAGCAAAGACUUUGAAUUUAAUUGACUCUUGAUUACGAUAUUUAGAAUAAGAUAUGUAACUCUUAAACUUAUGAAUGUUCAUAAUUAAUUUGAAAGUUACAUGAAAAACACAAAUAUUGAUCUUGUAAGAUUCGGUUGUUUUUUUGAUUAAAUACUAGUUUAUUUUUUCGUUGCGUUAUAAUUUUAAUUUAUUAAUUAUUUUCGUAUUUGAGCAUGAAAUCGAAUCCCAACAGUAACAAUAAAAGAAAAAUUAAGAAAAAUAUCCACUAGGGAAAAGCCAAAAAAAGAAAGCAGGAUUAACAUGGUUCAAGCCUGACUUUCAAGGAAUUAUUACUUACCAGGAAGAAGGCCUUGAUGUCCUUUCGGGUCAACUUGACUUCAGCACUUGGGUCGUUGCAAGUCUCCAUAAGGAUAUCCAUUAAAUCCUUCCCUUUUCUACCAGUAGUAUUCUCUUCAUGUUUCUUCAUGAUGUCCUCAACCAAUCUAUCAAACUUCUCAAGUGCCUUUUUGAGCUUUUUUCCAUAGCCAAGCAGGUCAAAUUUUCCCAGGGGGCCUAAUAUGUCCCCUGCACUUAAUUUUCCUCCAACCACAGCUAACUCUUCAAUCAACUUCUUAAUCUUCUCUGCUUCGUCAGCAUUCUCCCAGGGUCUUGUGCUCAUCGCCAUUCUACAAAUUACAUUGUUCAUCAUGGACAUUAGUGGCACGCCCAGAUCGCAAAACUCUCUUCCUUCAGAUACCUUGAUAAGAUAUUCCAAGAGUUUCGCCAUCUCUUGCUCCCGAAUAUGGACAAAUUGAUUAAGCGUCGAGUUAGAGAGAAGUCUGGUCAUGCACAGCUUCUUCAAAAACUGCCAAUACGUGCCAUAUGGUGCAAGGAUAAAAUCAGAUCCAUGAUAUAUAUUGUAUUCAGGGGAACCGAAUUCUGGACGGUAGACGAAAUUAAGCUCCUGGGUUUUCAAGAUUUCUUUGGCAAAAUUGGCGUUGGAGACCAGGACACAUGUUGCUGCUCCCAUUUGAAGCUGCAAGAGUGGGCCAUAACGAGUGGCUAGGCUAUGCAGUUUCUUUGGAAAACUACUGGAGCUUAGCAGCAGGUGAUGGAGGUGGCCAAUGAUGGGUAGACCUGGUGGGCUCGGAAGGUGUCGAGCCCGGGCGCGUCCAUAACUGGACAACUUCUUUGAAAGGAACUGAAGGAGAUAGGUGCAAAUGAACGAAACUAAGAGCAAGGAGCCAUAGUAAAGAAGUCCAUCUUUAGUAGUGGCCAUGGCUUGCCUUAUCAAGUUCUAAGAGAUGUGGAUUAUAUCUAUGUUCGGAGGCUCUAUGAGCUACACUUUAUUUAAUUAUUUGGUCUAAAGACUAAAAAUGCAUCAUUUCGUUUUCUUGUACGUCUAAAGUAAAUAAUUUCUUUGGCCAACAUUGAAAUAGCUGGCCUCAAUAAGGGCAUUACCAACAUUAACGUAAUAAGAUAAUUACAGUAUGUGUGGUUGGUGGAAUGGUUAUCACUUUAUUUGGGUGGAAGGCAAGGAAUAGAGUAAAAACAUUAAUAGAUAAAAAUAUUCUUUAUUAAUUUCAAGAAUUACCGUAUUAUACAAAAUAUAUUUUAUUCAUUUUUUUACAAUUUCUUUCUCUCUACCCAACUACCUCUGUCCUUCUCUCACUAAUUUAAAAUAAAUUUAAACUUUAAAAAUAAAAAAAUUAAAAUAAAUCUAAAAUAAAAAGGUUUAAGUUUUAAUUAUACAUUAUAAAAAAUUAAUAUUUUAAAAUUAAAAAUUAAAUUAAAAUUUUAAUUAUAAAUUUUUUAUAUUUUAAUAUUUGAAAAAUAAAAAAUCAAAAUAAUAAUAAAAUUAAUAUUUUAAUUUAAAAAGUAAAUAUUAUAAUAAAUGGUAUUUUUAUUAUAUAUCACUUAUUAUUUAAUUAUUUCUAAAACUAUUCCUGUCAACUAAAUAUUAUAAUAAUUCAUAAUAAUAAUUCUUAUCUUAUUCUAUUUUAAUGAACCAAACUACAUUAUUAUUAUUUAUUUUUUAUUUUAUUCUUAUGAAAUGAUUAUUCCAUUCUCACUCUAUUCUUUUGUGCGAACGAAACACACUCUUAAUGUAUUGGAAUGGCCAAUAAAAGAAUUAACAACGGAUUGAAAAGGGAAACUGUAACGAAUAUCUUACUACUAAAUGCACUGAAUGCUGCCGUCACUAUUUGAGAAAAACAUCCUUUACUUUAGACAUUUAUACGGGUUAAUAUGUCAAACUUUGAAACAUAGGAUGUUAAUGAAGUGGAAUUCUUUGCACAACCCUCUCAAGUCUUUGAUUUGAACGUAACCAAACAUGUAUACGGGUUAAUAUGUCAAACUUUUAAACAUAGAAUGUCAAUGAGGUGGAAUUCUUUGCACAACCCUCUCAACUCCUUGAUUUCAACAUAAUUAAACUUACCCAUAUAUUUUAUUAUUUAGAAGACAAAUAUUUUUUAUAGAACUCCUUGGAGUUUUAAAUUUUAUAAAUUAAUUAAGGUUGAUACAUGACCCAUUAUGAUAUAUUUAUUGAAAAUUAAUAUUUUAUUUUAAUUAUUAAAUAAAUAUAUAGCCAUCAUUUAUGUCACGACCCGGAACUCCCAUCGAGCCAGUGACAACUGCCGCGACGUCCCGAUAAGCACUCAUUACCCCGAAUGCCGAUCGAAACCCCGCAAGACUUAGCAUCAACUUCCGCAUCUCCCCGGUGAGGGACAGUUAUUAAAUUUCACAUUUCAAAAAAAAUCAUAAGUCAUUUCCAAAUCAAAACAAUAAAAUAUUACUUUCUGGCUCACAGGGGCAUUUUCGUCAUUUUUCUUCGAAAAUACCAAAACUCGUCAAAAACAUGGUGUAAAAGCUAAAUAUAUUCAUACAUACUUUGAAUCAAAUAACUGAAUAAUAAAAUUACUUUUUCAGUGACACGUGGGCCCUCAACUGACUAAGAAGAUGUAGGGCUAUGAACCCUUACUUCCUAUGAUGCAACUCCGAGAUUAAUUCUCGUCUUAAUCAACUAUCAACAAACUGUCCUGAGCCUGAAAAAUGGAUAGGAAGAGGGGUGAGAUUAAAUAAUCUCAGUGAGUAAACAAUUACCAUCAAAAGCAUCUAAAGCCGAGUAGAUGGAG